rnacentral:rRNA from 2 species
AAGGGAAGAACACGUACGAGAGUAACUGCUCGUACCUUGACGGUACCUUAUUAGAAAGCCACGGCUAACUACGUGCCAGCAGCCGCGGUAAUACGUAGGUGGCAAGCGUUGUCCGGAAUUAUUGGGCGUAAAGCGCGCGCAGGCGGUUCUUUAAGUCUGAUGUGAAAGCCCACGGCUCAACCGUGGAGGGUCAUUGGAAACUGGAGAACUUGAGUACAGAAGAGGAAAGCGGAAUUCCACGUGUAGCGGUGAAAUGCGUAGAGAUGUGGAGGAACACCAGUGGCGAAGGCGGCUUUCUGGUCUGUAACUGACGCUGAGGCGCGAAAGCGUGGGGAGCAAACAGGAUUAGAUACCCUGGUAGUCCACGCCGUAAACGAUGAGUGCUAAGUGUUAGGGGGUUUCCGCCCCUUAGUGCUGCAGCUAACGCAUUAAGCAC